rnacentral:rRNA from 1 species
UACGGAGGGUGCAAGCGUUGCUCGGAAUCAUUGGGCGUAAAGCGCACGUAGGCGGUUUGUUAUGUCGGAUGUGAAAGCCCUUGGCUCAACUGAGGAAGUGCAUCCGAAACUGGCAGCUAGAGUACUAAAGAGGAUCGCGGAAUUCCCGGUGUAGAGGUGAAAUUCGUAGAUAUCGGGAGGAACACCGGUGGCGAAGGCGGCGAUCUGGGUAGAUACUGACGCUGAGGUGCGAAAGCGUGGGGAGCAAACAGG